ensembl:lncRNA
CACACACACACACACAAUGAGACAGAGGGAGUUAAAGAAUAGGGUUAGAGCACAGAUACACAUUCAUUAGAACCCAGACACAUAUUUAUUAGAGGGAGGGAGAGCUCUGGGUUAGAGAGAGAAGAGAGAGAGAGGUAGAGAGAGGGAGGGGAAAGAGAAGAGAGAGAGAGAGAGGGAGAGAGAGAAGAAAGAAGAGAGAGAAGAGAGAAAGAGGGAGGGAGAGCUCUGUUUAUAUCUCCACGCCUAGGGACAUCUGUAUGAGUCACAGAGAGGGAAGAGAGAAGAGAGAGAAGAGAGAGGAGAGUAAAAAGAGAGAAGAGAGAGAAGAGAGAAGAGAGAGGAGAGAGAGGAGAGAGAAGGGAGAGAAGAGAGAGGGAAGAGAGAGGAGAGGGAAGAGAGAGAAGAGGGAAGAGAGAAGAGAGAGAAGAGAAGAGAAGAGAUGAGACUCAUUUUAGUGCUGCUGCUCAUCUUACUGUUUCUUCAGGAUUCACAUGCCAAACGAAAGGGAAGCCGAGCAAAAAAGAAGGGAAGAGGAAGUAACAUGCCAGCUGGAAUAUUAAACCCUGUGAACCAAGGGACGAACUCCAUAGACCUGUCCACAAUCGUAGAGGACAACAUUGUGCGGGAACAUGUGCGAG